rnacentral:rRNA from 1 species
UACGGAGGAUGCAAGCGUUAUCCGGAAUGAUUGGGCGUAAAGCGUCCGCAGGUGGCUGUGUAAGUCUGCUGUUAAAGAGUGAGGCUCAACCUCAUAAAAGCAGUGGAAACUACACGGCUAGAGUGCGUUCGGGGCAGAGGGAAUUCCUGGUGUAGCGGUGAAAUGCGUAGAUAUCAGGAAGAACACCGGUGGCGAAAGCGCUCUGCUAGGCCGCAACUGACACUGAGGGACGAAAGCGAGGGGAGCGAAUGGG